rnacentral:rRNA from 1 species
UACGGAAGGCAGCGGUGGGGAAUAUUGCACAAUGGGCGCGAGCCUGAUGCAGCCAUGCCGCGUGUAUGAAGAAGGCCUUCGGGUUGUAAAGUACUUUCAGUCGUGAGGAAGGUGUUAAGGUUAAUAACCUUAGCAAUUGACGUUAGCGACAGAAGAAGCACCGGCUAACUCCGUGCCAGCAGCCGCGGUAAUACGGAGGGUGCGAGCGUUAAUCGGAAUUACUGGGCGUAAAGGGCACGCAGGCGGUUAAUUAAGUUGGAUGUGAAAUCCCCGGGCUUAACCUGGGAAUGGCAUUCAAGACUGGUUAGCUAGAGUCUUGUAGAGGGGGUAGAAUUCCAUGUGUAGCGGUGAAAUGCGUAGAGAUGUGGAGGAAUACCGGUGGCGAAGGCGGCCCCUGGACAAAGACUGACGCUCAUGUGCGAAAGCUGGGGAGCAAACAGGGAUUAGAUACC